UAAAAGCUCGUUUGAUUC
rnacentral:snRNA from 1 species